rnacentral:piRNA from 1 species
UUUCAAGUGUGCAUCGCUGGAAAACUGAU